rnacentral:rRNA from 1 species
AUUGAACGCUGGCGGCAGGCCUAACACAUGCAAGUCGAGCGAGCGGCGGACGGGUGAGUAAUGUCUGGGAAACUGCCUGAUGGAGGGGGAUAACUACUGGAAACGGUAGCUAAUACCGCAUACCAUCAGAUGUGCCCAAAUGGGAUUAGCUAGUAGGUGGGGUAAAGGCUCACCUAGGCUACGAUCCCUAGCUGGUCUGAGAGGAUGACCAGCCAAGCUGGAACGGAGAAACGGUCCAGACUCCGACGGGAGGCAGCAGUGGGGAAUAUUGCACAAUGGGCGAAAGCCUGAUGCAGCCAUGCCGCGUGUGUGAAGAAGGCCUUCGUGUUGUAAAGCACUUUCAGCGAGGAGGCGUUACUCGCAGAAGAAGCACCGGCUAACUCCGUGCCAGCAGCCGCGGUAAUUC